rnacentral:rRNA from 1 species
GUGGGGAAUAUUGGACAAUGGGCGAAAGCCUGAUCCAGCCAUGCCGCGUGUGUGAAGAAGGUCUUCGGAUUGUAAAGCACUUUAAGUUGGGAGGAAGGGCAGUAAGUUAAUACCUUGCUGUUUUGACGUUACCGACAGAAUAAGCACCGGCUAACUUCGUGCCAGCAGCCGUGGUAAUACGAAGGGUGCAAGCGUUAAUCGGAAUUACUGGGCGUAAAGCGCGCGUAGGUGGUUUUGUAAGUUGGAGGUGAAAUCCCCGGGCUCAACCUGGGAACUGCCUCCAAAACUGCAUGACUAGAGUACGGUAGAGGGUAGUGGAAUUUCCUGUGUAGCGGUGAAAUGCGUAGAUAUAGGAAGGAACACCAGUGGCGAAGGCGACUACCUGGACUGAUACUGACACUGAGGUGCGAAAGCGUGGGGAGCAAACAGGAUUAGAUACCCGUGUAGUCC